rnacentral:rRNA from 1 species
GACGAACGCUGGCGGCGUGCCUAAUACAUGCAAGUUGAGCGAUGAAGAUUGGUGCUUGCACCAAUUUGAAGAGCAGCGAACGGGUGAGUAACGCGUGGGGAAUCUGCCUUUGAGCGGGGGACAACAUUUGGAAACGAAUGCUAAUACCGCAUAACAACUUUAAACAUAAGUUUUAAGUUUGAAAGAUGCAAUUGCAUCACUCAAAGAUGAUCCCGCGUUGUAUUAGCUAGUUGGUGAGGUAAAGGCUCACCAAGGCGAUGAUACAUAGCCGACCUGAGAGGGUGAUCGGCCACAUUGGGACUGAGACACGGCCCAAACGACUACGGAAGGCAGCAGUAGGGAAUCUUCGGCAAUGGACGGAAGUCUGACCGAGCAACGCCGCGUGAGUGAAGAAGGUUUUCGGAUCGUAAAACUCUGUUGGUAGAGAAGAACGUUGGUGAGAGUGGAAAGCUCAUCAAGUGACGGUAACUACCCAGAAAGGGACGGCUAACUACGUG